AAGGCUUCUGUUUUCUUAUGAGAUUUUUGCUUGCACGUUUUUGUAUGUGUUUGGCAAUCUUAAACUGAAGCCGAGAUGUGCGUUCCCCUCGCUAUCCAAUGUGGCAAUUUUGAUGCUGCAAUUGGACGUCGGGAAACAAAAUUA
rnacentral:snoRNA from 1 species